CUAGCUAUAAGUAUACUCUUCCUUAACUAAUUUGCACAUGAAAUUCUGCACAUGUACAUAUACAGAUAUAUUUCAGUCGUAAGUAGGGAGCAUCUUGUGGGGAGCCCUAAUUCGCACGCACGGGUAUCUGAUAAAAAACUAACGCUAGGUACGUACGUACGUACGUACGUUCAUCCCCAAUUAAAAGUAGUAGAGUAGAAAGAACAUGCUACGAGCUAGAUAUAGAUGCAUCGGUGCAUCAUCAUGCACAUACGUUUCUUCAUGCUUGCAUGCGUGGUCUCAAAACUGGAAGCGCCCGUUCGCUCCCGGAGGUGGCGCGAGCACCAUGCCCACGUGUGGCAGUGCCCGUGGCAGCUGCUUCUGCUGC
rnacentral:lncRNA from 1 species